ACGCUGGCGGCGUGCCUAAUACAUGCAAGUCGAACGGCUUUUCUAUGGAAGCUUGCUUCCACUGAGAAGAUAGUGGCGAACGGGUGAGUAACACGUGGGUAACCUGCCCAUAAGAGGGGGAGUAACAUCCGGAAACGGGUGCUAAUACCGCAUAGUUUUCUUGAUCGCAUGAUCGGGAAAGGAAAGACGGCCUUUGUGCUGUCGCUUAUGGAUGGACCCGCGGCGUAUUAGUUAGUUGGUGAGGUAACGGCUCACCAAGACGAUGAUACGUAGCCGACCUGAGAGGGUGAUCGGCCACGUUGGGACUGAGACACGGCCCAAACUCCUACGGGAGGCAGCAGUAGGGAAUCUUCCGCAAUGGACGAAAGUCUGACGGAGCAACGCCGCGUGAGUGAAAGAAGGUUUUCGGAUCGUAAAACUCUGUUGUCAGAGAAGAACAAGUUGGAGAGUAACUGCUCCAGCCUUGACGGUAUCUGACCAGAAAGCCACGGCUAACUACGUGCCAGCCGCCGC
rnacentral:rRNA from 1 species